rnacentral:rRNA from 1 species
UACGUAGGGGGCAAGCGUUGUCCGGAUUUAUUGGGCGUAAAGAGCGUGUGGGCGGCUUGACAGGUCUGCUGUGAAAACUCGAGGCUCAACCUCGAGAUGUCGGCGGAAACCGUCUGGCUAGAGUCCGGAAGAGGAGAGUGGAAUUCCUGGUGUAGCGGUGAAAUGCGCAGAUAUCAGGAGGAACACCAAUAGCGAAGGCAGCUCGCUGGGACGGUACUGACGCUAAGGCGCGAAAGCGUGGGGAGCGAACAGG